UACGUAGGGUGCAAGCGUUAAUCGGAAUUACUGGGCGUAAAGCGUGCGCAGGCGGUUAUGUAAGACCGAUGUGAAAUCCCAGGGCUCAACCUUGGAACUGCAUUUGUGACUGCAUCGCUGGAGUGCGGCAGAGGGGGAUGGAAUUCCGCGUGUAGCAGUGAAAUGCGUAGAUAUGCGGAGGAACACCGAUGGCGAAGGCAAUCCCCUGGGCCUGCACUGACGCUCAGGCACGAAAGCGUGGGGAGCAAACAGG
rnacentral:rRNA from 1 species